CACUCCUACGGGAGGCAGCAGUGGGGAAUUUUGGACAAUGGGCGAAAGCCUGAUCCAGCAAUGCCGCGUGAGUGAAGAAGGCCUUCGGGUUGUAAAGCUCUUUUGUCAGGGAAGAAACGGUGAAAGCUAAUAUCUUUUGCUAAUGACGGUACCUGAAGAAUAAGCACCGGCUAACUACGUGCCAGCAGCCGCGGUAAUACGUAGGGUGCAAGCGUUAAUCGGAAUUACUGGGCGUAAAGCGUGCGCAGGCGGUUUUGUAAGUCUGAUGUGAAAUCCCCGGGCUCAACCUGGGAAUUGCAUUGGAGACUGCAAGGCUAGAAUCUGGCAGAGGGGGGUAGAAUUCCACGUGUAGCAGUGAAAUGCGUAGAUAUGUGGAGGAACACCGAUGGCGAAGGCAGCCCCCUGGGUCAAGAUUGACGCUCAUGCACGAAAGCGUGGGGAGCAAACAGGAUUAGAUACCCGGGUAGUCCCAUGAU
rnacentral:rRNA from 1 species